rnacentral:lncRNA from 1 species
GUGGCUUUGUCGUUUGUGAAAAAGGGGAAAUGUUGGCCUGAGGAAAGGACGAUGUAAUUUUGCACACAGCAGAGACAACAAUAUGCAGAGGAAAUAUGCAAUGAAAAACGGUUAAAGUAACGAGCAUUGGGAGUGAAUAGAGGGGUACGAAAUAGAGACUGGAGAUUGGAAUAGAGAAUGGAGACACAAUGGCAAAGAGGGGGGGUGAGAAUUAGAGGAGGAAAAAAUGGGCUCAAGAGGGAGGCUAUGAUCACAAAUAAAAAAACCUUUUCCUUCAUCAAGGGCGAGGGGGUGAGGUUUUCUGGAGAUUCGAACGCCUGCAUCAGCUUCACUCUUUUCUGUUGCAACAGUCAUUGGAGACACCAGGCAAUAGCAUAGGGGCCCUCAAGAGGUAAGAAUUCCCUCACUCAUUCAUAUAAUCACAUGUGAUGCUUGCUGUAUUGUGAAUGGUUGUUCUAUGAACUGUGUGUUAUACUAGCUUUUGGUUAUGACUUUGUGUAUGAAUCCCCCAUUCUUCAUUCUCAAUGAUCGUCGAACAUCGUCAUCGCCAUGCUCUUUACUUAGCUAGUUACUUACCCGGAAAAAAAAAAAAACAAUCAAGCAGAGUUUAUCUGCUAACUUCAUCCCGUACCACAUUAACCAACCCUCUCAGAACCGAAGGAUAAAUUCCCUCCCUUGUCAUCUCCUCACACGGCACCAUAGCCUCUUCCAUCUACACCCAGACGAGAAACAACACGAAACACAAAACCAAACAGAUAACACCAUCAUCAAACCGAAUCAGUCCAUAACCCAAUCCUGCCCCACCAUCACCACGUAUACCUACACCAUACCCAAACCUUCCCAUCGUAUCAUCAACACACCCAGUGCAAAACACACACGCACAAUAGCAUACACACAAUACAGAACACAGACCUGUACAAGAACACAAGCACAAAAUCAGAAAUUCCAAAUCAUCGCCAAACAACCCUAUCUCCAUCGGAAUUCAAGUAGAAGAUGAAGGUUGAGAAACAGGAAGCGACGUGCCCUGUUCGAAGGCUGUGACCUCGGAGGUGGAGACGGUGAAGUUGGUGAGUUCGAUGACAGAGUCUGACUCCACUGGCCAAAGGGGCAUGGGGCACCGGCAGCCAGUCUCGGCGGAAGCGGCGGAAGCGAUUAGAUCUCAGAGUUGGAAUCGCGUUCGUGCGAAGAGGAGGGAGAGGGCAAGCGAUGGGGUCUCCAGCGAUGUUAAGCCUGGUAGGAGACGGUGGCGCGGUGGCUAGAUUCGAAGCAGUGGUGGCCGGCGGUGCUCAAGGGUGGAAACCCCAAUCCUAGGACGAAGCGAGAGAGGAAAAGGGGAAACGACGCUGUGGCCAGCCUUGGCUCCGGUGACACCCGUUGUCGCCGGCGAUGUGGCGACUUAUGGAGGUGGUGGCAUGUGGCCCAGUCUGGUAGAGGCGGUGUGUGCGUGGAUUCGAGGGAGGCAAACCCCUCCCUGGGUUGCCUGUCGCGAGAGAGACUCUAGGUCUCUGGUGUUGAGUGUGUAUGGAAUGGGGGGAAGAAUGAGAGAACCCCUCC